AUUCUUACCUGGCCAGGGGGAGAUAUGAUCAUGAAAGUGGUGGUUGUUUCCAGGAGAAAAGCUUAUUCAUUGCAUUCCAGAUAUGCUGGCCCUUUGUGAUGUCCCCAGAUGUGGAAAACUCAACUGCAUCAUUUGUGGGAGUGGGAGGGGGACUGCACUCCUGUUCUCCCCUA
rnacentral:snRNA from 1 species